GAUGAACGCUGGCGGCGUGCCUAAUACAUGCAAGUCGAGCGAACGGACGAGAAGCUUGCUUCUCUGAUGUUAGCGGCGGACGGGUGAGUAACACGUGGAUAACCUACCUAUAAGACUGGGAUAACUUCGGGAAACCGGAGCUAAUACCGGAUAAUAUUUUGAACCGCAUGGUUCAAAAGUGAAAGACGGUCUUGCUGUCACUUAUAGAUGGAUCCGCGCUGCAUUAGCUAGUUGGUAAGGUAACGGCUUACCAAGGCAACGAUGCAUAGCCGACCUGAGAGGGUGAUCGGCCACACUGGAACUGAGACACGGUCCAGACUCCUACGGGAGGCAGCAGUAGGGAAUCUUCCGCAAUGGGCGAAAGCCUGACGGAGCAACGCCGCGUGAGUGAUGAAGGUCUUCGGAUCGUAAAACUCUGUUAUUAGGGAAGAACAUAUGUGUAAGUAACUGUGCACAUCUUGACGGUACCUAAUCAGAAAGCCACGGCUAACUACGUGCCAGCAGCCGCGGUAAUACGUAGGUGGCAAGCGUUAUCCGGAAUUAUUGGGCGUAAAGCGCGCGUAGGCGGUUUUUUAAGUCUGAUGUGAAAGCCCACGGCUCAACCGUGGAGGGUCAUUGGAAACUGGAAAACUUGAGUGCAGAAGAGGAAAGUGGAAUUCCAUGUGUAGCGGUGAAAUGCGCAGAGAUAUGGAGGAACACCAGUGGCGAAGGCGACUUUCUGGUCUGUAACUGACGCUGAUGUGCGAAAGCGUGGGGAUCAAACAGGAUUAGAUACCCUGGUAGUCCACGCCGUAAACGAUGAGUGCUAAGUGUUAGGGGGUUUCCGCCCCUUAGUGCUGCAGCUAACGCAUUAAGCACUCCGCCUGGGGAGUACGACCGCAAGGUUGAAACUCAAAGGAAUUGACGGGACCCGCACAAGCGGUGGAGCAUGUGGUUUAAUUCGAAGCAACGCGAAGAACCUUACCAAAUCUUGACAUCCUUUGACAACUCUAGAGAUAGAGCCUUCCCCUUCGGGGGGGCAAAGUGACAGGUGGUGCAUGGUUGUCGUCAGCUCGUGUCGUGAGAUGUUGGGUUAAGUCCCGCAACGAGCGCAACCCUUAAGCUUAGUUGCCAUCAUUAAGUUGGGCACUCUAAGUUGACUGCCGGUGACAAACCGGAGGAAGGUGGGGAUGACGUCAAAUCAUCAUGCCCCUUAUGAUUUGGGCUACACACGUGCUACAAUGGACAAUACAAAGGGCAGCGAAACCGCGAGGUCAAGCAAAUCCCAUAAAGUUGUUCUCAGUUCGGAUUGUAGUCUGCAACUCGACUACAUGAAGCUGGAAUCGCUAGUAAUCGUAGAUCAGCAUGCUACGGUGAAUACGUUCCCGGGUCU
rnacentral:rRNA from 1 species